UACAGAGGUGGCAAGCGUUGUUCGGAAUUACUGGGUGUAAAGGGCGCGUAGGCGGCCUGUUAAGUCCCGUGUGAAAUCCCUCGGCUCAACCGAGGAACUGCACGGGAAACUGGCGGGCUUGAGGUCGGGAGAGGGAAGCGGAAUUCCGGGUGUAGCGGGGAAAUGGGUAGAUAUCCGGAGGAACACCGGUGGCGAAGGCGGCUUCCUGGACCGACACUGACGCUGAGGCGCGAAAGCUCGGGGAGCAAACGGG
rnacentral:rRNA from 1 species